rnacentral:rRNA from 1 species
AAUCAACGCUGGCGGCGUGCCUCAGACAUGCAAGUCGAACGCGAAAGUCCCCUUCGGGGGACAAGUAGAGUGGCGCACGGGUGAGUGACACGUAGGUAAUCUACCUUCGGGUGGGGAAUAACAACCGGAAACGGUUGCUAAUACCGCAUAAUGCAGCGGCACCUAAUGGUGACAGUUGUUAAAGCGGGGGAUCGCAAGACCUCGCGCCUGAAGAGGAGCCUGCGGCGGAUUAGCUAGUUGGCAGGGUAACGGCCUACCAAGGCGACGAUCCGUAGCCGGCCUGAGAGGGCGGUCGGCCACACUGACACUGACAUACGGGUCAGACUCCUACGGGAGGCAGCAGUCGGGAAUUUUAGGCAAUGGGCGAAAGCCUGACCCAGCAACGCCGCGUGAAGGAUGAAAUCCCUCGGGAUGUAAACUUCGCAAGAACGGGGAGAAUAAGCCGGUGUGAACACCACCGGCGAUGACGGUACCGUUUGUAAGCUCCGGCUAACUCCGUGCCAGCAGCCGCGGUAAUACGGGGGGAGCAAGCGUUGUUCGGAUUUACUGGGCGUAAAGGGCGCGUAGGCGGCCACCGCAAGUCAAUUGUGAAAUCUCCGGGCUUAACUCGGAAAGGUCAACUGAUACUGCGGGGCUAGAGUGCGGAAGGGGCAACUGGAAUUCUCGGUGUAGCGGUGAAAUGCGUAGAUAUCUAGCGGUGAAAUGCGUAGAUAUCGAGAGGAACACCUGCGGCGAAGGCGGGUUGCUGGGCCCGACACUGACGCUGAGGCGCGAAAGCUAGGGGAGCGAACGGGAUUAGAUACCCCGGUAGUCUAGCCUUAAACGAUGAUGCUUGGUGUCUGGGGUACAAAGUCCCCGGGUGCGUCGCUAACGCUUAGCAUUCCGGCUUGGGGAGUACGUCCAGACUGAACUCAAGGAAUGGAACGGGAAACCGCGC